rnacentral:rRNA from 1 species
CAGUGGCGAACGGGUGAGUAACACGUGGGCAAUCUGCCCUGCACUCUGGGACAAGCCCUGGAAACGGGGUCUAAUACCGGAUAUUACCUGAGGGGGCAUCUUCUUGGGUGUAAAGCUCCGGCGGUGCAGGAUGAGCCCGCGGCCUAUCAGCUUGUUGGUGGGGUGAUGGCCUACCAAGGCGACGACGGGUAGCCGGCCUGAGAGGGCGACCGGCCACACUGGGACUGAGACACGGCCCAGACUCCUACGGGAGGCAGCAGUGGGGAAUAUUGCACAAUGGGCGGAAGCCUGAUGCAGCGACGCCGCGUGAGGGAUGACGGCCUUCGGGUUGUAAACCUCUUUCAGCAGGGAAGAAGCGUGAGUGACGGUACCUGCAGAAGAAGCACCGGCUAACUACGUGCCAGCAGCCGCGGUAAUACGUAGGGUGCGAGCGUUGUCCGGAAUUAUUGGGCGUAAAGAGCUCGUAGGCGGUUUGUCGCGUCGGAUGUGAAAGCCCGGGGCUUAACUCCGGGUCUGCAUUCGAUACGGGCAGACUAGAGUGUGGUAGGGGAGAUCGGAAUUCCU